rnacentral:rRNA from 1 species
AUUAGCUAGUUGGUAAGGUAAAGGCUUACCAAGGCGAUGAUGCAUAGCCGAGUUGAGAGACUGAUCGGCCACAUUGGGACUGAGACACGGCCCAAACUCCUACGGGAGGCAGCAGUAGGGAAUCUUCCGACAAUGGACGCAAGUCUGAUGGAGCAACGCCGCGUGAGUGAAGAAGGUUUUCGGAUCGUAAAGCUACUGUUGUUGGUGAAGAAAGGAUAGAGGUAGUAACUGGCCUUUAUUUGACGGUAAUCAACCAGAAAGUCACGGGCUAACUACGUGCCAGCAGCCGCGGUAAAU